rnacentral:rRNA from 1 species
UGGGGAAUAUUGCACAAUGGGGGAAACCCUGAUGCAGCGACGCCGCGUGAGCGAAGAAGGUUUUCGAAUCGUAAAGCUCUGUCCUAUGAGAAGAUAAUGACGGUAUCAUAGGAGGAAGCCCCGGCUAAAUACGUGCCAGCAGCCGCGGUAAUACGUAUGGGGCGAGCGUUGUCCGGAAUUAUUGGGCGUAAAGGGUACGUAGGCGGUCUAUUAAGUCAGGUGUGAAAGCGUGAGGCUUAACCUCAUUAAGCACUUGAAACUGAUAGACUUGAGUGAAGGAGAGGAAAGUGGAAUUCCUAGUGUAGCGGUGAAAUGCGUAGAUAUUAGGAGGAAUAACGGUGGCGAAGGCGACUUUCUGGACUUUUACUGACGCUCAGGUACGAAAGCGUGGGGAGCAAACAGG